AGAUUAAGUUAUUAAGGGCGCACGGUGGAUGCCUUGGCACUAGAAGCCGAUGAAGGACGUUACUAACGACGAUAUGCUUUGGGGAGCUGUAAGUAAGCUUUGAUCCAGAGAUUUCCGAAUGGGGAAACCCAGCAUGAGUUAUGUCAUGUUAUCGAUAUGUGAAUACAUAGCAUAUCAGAAGGCACACCCGGAGAACUGAAACAUCUUAGUACCCGGAGGAAGAGAAAGAAAAUUCGAUUCCCUUAGUAGCGGCGAGCGAAACGGGAAGAGCCCAAACCAACAAGCUUGCUUGUUGGGGUUGUAGGACACUCUAUACGGAGUUACAAAGGACGACAUUAGACGAAUCAUCUGGAAAGAUGAAUCAAAGAAGGUAAUAAUCCUGUAGUCGAAAAUGUUGUCUCUCUUGAGUGGAUCCUGAGUACGACGGAGCACGUGAAAUUCCGUCGGAAUCUGGGAGGACCAUCUCCUAAGGCUAAAUACUCUCUAGUGACCGAUAGUGAACCAGUACCGUGAGGGAAAGGUUAAAAGCACCCCGGAAGGGGAGUGAAAUAGAACCUGAAACCGUGUGCUUACAAGUAGUCAGAGCCCGUUAAUGGGUGAUGGCGUGCCUUUUGUAGAAUGAACCGGCGAGUUACGAUUUGAUGCAAGGUUAAGCAGUAAAUGUGGAGCCGUAGCGAAAGCGAGUCUGAAUAGGGCGUUUAGUAUUUGGUCGUAGACCCGAAACCAGGUGAUCUACCCUUGGUCAGGUUGAAGUUCAGGUAACACUGAAUGGAGG
rnacentral:rRNA from 1 species